GACGAACGCUGGCGGCGUGCUUAACACAUGCAAGUCGAACGGGCCUGUCUUCUUUUUUGGGGGGUGGGUUGAGUGGCGAACGGGUGAGUAUCACGUGAGUAACCUGCCCUUCGGUCCUGGAUAACCGCUUGAAAGGGCGGCUAAUACGGGGUGGUCCGGUUGGUCCGCAUGGGCUGGUCGGGAUAGAUUCACUGUUUUUGGUGUUUCGGCGGGGGAUGGGCUCGCGGCCUAUCAGCUUGUUGGUGGGGUGAUGGCCUACCAAGGCGGUGACGGGUAGCCGGCCUGGGAGGGGGGGCGGCUAGAAGGGGACUGGGAUACGGCCCAGAAUCCUGCGGGAGGCAGCAGUGGGGGGUAUUGCACAAUGGGCGGAAGCCUGAUGCAGCGACGUCGCGUGAGGGAGGGAGGCCUUCGGGUUGUGAACCUCUGUUUCCGGUGGUGAAGGCCCUGUCCGUGUGGUGGGGUUGACGGUAGCCGGGGAUGAAGCGCCGGCUAACUACGUG
rnacentral:rRNA from 1 species